GGCCGCGGGGGCCGGAGGGUUCCGGGAGGUUUCGGGGAGGUUUCGGGGAGGUUUUUGGGAUGUUCUGGGAGGUUUCGGGAUGUUCCGGGAGGUUUUGGGAUGUUCUGGGAGGUUUUUGGAGGUUUCAGGAGGUUUGGGGAGGUUUUUGGGAUGUUUGGGGAUGUUUCAGGACAUUCUGGGAGGUUUUUGGAGGUUUUGGGAUGUUUCAGGAAGUUUGGGGAGGUUUUGGGAUGUUUGGGGAGGUUUUGGGAUGUUCUGGGAUGUUUGGGGAGGUUUUUGGGAUGUUUGGGGAUGUUUCAGGACAUUCUGGGAGGUUUUUGGAGGUUUUGGGAUGUUUCAGGAAGUUUGAGGAGGUUUUGGGGUGUUCUGGGAUGUUUGGGGAGGUUUUUGGGAUGUUCUGGGAUGUUCUGGGAGGUUUUUGCAUGAUUCAGGAGGUUUGGGGAGGUUUUUGGGAUGUUCUUGGAGGUUUUGGGAUGUUUGGGGAUGUUUCAGGACAUUCUGGGAGGUUUUUGGAGGUUUUGGGAUGUUUCAGGAAGUUUGGGGAGGUUUCAGGAGGUUUUGGGAUGUUCUGGGAUGUUUUGGGAUGUUCUGGGAGGUUUUUGGAUGUUUCAGGAGGUUUGGGGAGGUGUUGGGAUGUUCUGGGAUGUUUGGGGAGGUUUUGGGAUGUUUGGGGAGGUUUUGGGAUGUUUCAGGAGGUUUUGGGAUGUUCUGGGAGGUUUUUGGAGGUUUUGGGAUGUUUGGGGAGGUUUUGGGAUGUUUGGGGAGGUUUUUGGGAUGUUCUGGGAUGUUUUAGGAGGUUUUGGGAUGUUUGGGGAGGUUUUUGGGAUGUUCUGGGAGGUUUUUGG